rfam:Oryza glumipatula chromosome 3, whole genome shotgun sequence.
GUGAAACGUAGCCAUAAAUUUACGUGUCUAGAUUUGAUCGUCUGUCUUAUUUAAAUUUUUUUAUGAUUAGUAUUUUUUCUAUAAUUAAUAUUGUUCUUAGAUUAUAAAAUAUGGAUAGUGUUUUGUGCUGACUUAUUUUUUAUAUUUUUUAAAAAAUAAAUAAAUAAGACGGACGAUUAAAGUUGGACAUGAAAACUCAUGGUUGUGUUUAUU